GACGAACGCUGGCGGCGUGCUUAACACAUGCAAGUCGAACGGAAAGGCCCUGCUUUUGUGGGGUGCUCGAGUGGCGAACGGGUGAGUAACACGUGAGUAACACGCCCUUGUCUUUGGGAUAACUCCAGGAAACAGCGGAUAAUACCGGAUAGGAGCUCCUGCUGCAUGGUGGGGGUUGGAAAGAUUCGGCGGUUGGGGAUGGACUGGCGGCUUAUCAGCUUGUUGGUGGGGUAGUGGCUUACCAAGCCUUUGACGGGUAGCCGGCCUGAGAGGGUGACCGGCGACAUGGGGACUGAGAUACGGCGCAGACUCCUACGGGAGGCAGCAGUGGGGAAUAUUGCACAAUGGGCGGAAGCCUGAGACAGCAACGCCGCGUGCGGGAUGACGGCCUACGAGUUGUAAACCGCUGUCGCCUGUGACGAAGCGUGAGUGACGGUAAUGGGUAAAGAAGCACCGGCUAACUACGUG
rnacentral:rRNA from 1 species